rnacentral:rRNA from 1 species
UGAGGAAUAUUGGUCAAUGGUCGGGGAGACUGAACCAGCCAAGCCGCGUGAGGGAGGAAGGUACAGAGUAUCGUAAACCUCUUUUGUCAGGGAACAAAAGGCGGGGAC